rfam:Clonorchis sinensis DNA, scaffold: 1123, strain: Henan.
CACAGCUAUGGGGACAUGGUACCAGAAACCAUCGUGGGCAAAAUAGUCGGCGGAAUGUGCUCACUAUCUGGCGUGCUUGUCAUUGCUCUCCCAGUUCCGGUUAUCGUGUCCAAC